rnacentral:rRNA from 1 species
AUCCUGGCUCAGAUUGAACGCUGGCGGCAGGCUUAACACAUGCAAGUCGAGCGGAGAUGAGGUGCUUGCACCUUAUCUUAGCGGCGGACGGGUGAGUAAUGCUUAGGAAUCUGCCUAUUAGUGGGGGACAACAUUUCGAAAGGAAUGCUAAUACCGCAUACGCCCUACGGGGGAAAGCAGGGGAUCUUCGGACCUUGCGCUAAUAGAUGAGCCUAAGUCGGAUUAGCUAGUUGGUGGGGUAAAGGCCUACCAAGGCGACGAUCUGUAGCGGGUCCUGAGAGGAUGAUCCGCCACACUGGGACUGAGACACGGCCCAGACUCCUACGGGAGGCAGCAGUGGGGAAUAUUGGACAAUUGGGGGGAACCCUGAUCCAGCCAUGCCGCGUGUGUGAAGAAGGCCUUUUGGUUGUAAAGCACUUUAAGCGAGGAGGAGGAGCUCUAGAUUAAUACUCUAGAUGCUUGGACGUUACUCGCAGAAUAAGCACCGGCUAAC